UGGGGAAUUUUGCACAAUGGGGGAAACCCUGAUGCAGCGACGCCGCGUGAUUUAGAAGGCCUUCGGGUUGUAAAAAUCUUUUCUAUGGGAAGAAAAUGACAGUACCAUAGGAAUAAGGACCGGCUAAUUACGUGCCAGCAGCCGCGGUAAUACGUAAGGUCCGAGCGUUGUCCGGAAUCAUUGGGCGUAAAGGGUACGUAGGCGGGUAAGCAAGUUAGAAGUGAAAUCCUAUAGCUCAACUAUAGUAAGCUUUUAAAACUGCUCAGCUUGAGGUAUGGAAUGGAAAGUGGAAUUCCUAGUGUAGCGGUGAAAUGCGCAGAUAUUAGGAGGAAUACCGGUGGCGAAGGCGACUUUCUGGCCAUAACCUGACGCUGAGGUACGAAAGCGUGGGUAGCAAACAGG
rnacentral:rRNA from 1 species